rfam:Dichomitus squalens LYAD-421 SS1 unplaced genomic scaffold DICSQscaffold_18, whole genome shotgun sequence.
GGGCACAUGGUGUAGUUGGUUAUCACAUCCGCUUAGCAUCUAAUGAGCGCGUUUGCGGGGGGUGCUGGGUUCAAUUCCCAGUGUGUCCA